GGGGGGACGCAGUAGGAUAGGCGAAGCGUACGAUUGGAUUGUACGUCUAAGCAGUGAGAUUGAGUGUUAGGCAAAUCCGGCACUCUUAAGAUUGAGCUGUGAUGGGGAGAGGAAAUUGUUUCCUCGAGUCGUUGAUUUCACACUGCCGAGAAAAGCCUCUAGAUAGAGAUUAGGUGCCCGUACCGCAAACCGACACAGGUAGUCAAGAUGAGAAUUCUAAGGUGAGCGAGCGAACUCUCGUUAAGGAACUCGGCAAAAUGACCCCGUAACUUCGGGAGAAGGGGUGCUCUUUAGGGUGCAAGCCCAGAAGAGCCGCAGUGAAUAGGCCCAAGCGACUGUUUAUCAAAAACACAGGUCUCUGCUAAACCGUAAGGUGAUGUAUAGGGGCUGACGCCUGCCCGGUGCUGGAAGGUUAAGAGGAGUGGUUAGCUUCUGCGAAGCUACGAAUCGAAGCCCCAGUAAACGGCGGCCGUAACUAUAACGGUCCUAAGGUAGCGAAAUUCCUUGUCGGGUAAGUUCCGACCCGCACGAAAGGCGUAACGAUUUGGGCACUGUCUCAACGAGAGACUCGGUGAAAUCAUAGUACCUGUGAAGAUGCAGGUUACCCGCGACAGGACGGAAAGACCCCGUGGAGCUUUACUGUAGCCUGAUAUUGAAAUUCGGCACAGCUUGUACAGGAUAGGUAGGAGCCUUUGAAACGUGAGCGCUAGCUUACGUGGAGGCGUUGGUGGGAUACUACCCUAGCUGUGUUGGCUUUCUAACCCGCACCACUUAUCGUGGUGGGAGACAGUGUCAGGCGGGCAGUUUGACUGGGGCGGUCGCCUCCUAAAAGGUAACGGAGGCGCUCAAAGGUUCCCUCAGAAUGGUUGGAAAUCAUUCAUAGAGUGUAAAGGCAUAAGGGAGCUUGACUGCGAGACCUACAAGUCGAGCAGGGUCGAAAGACGGACUUAGUGAUCCGGUGGUUCCGCAUGGAAGGGCCAUCGCUCAACGGAUAAAAGCUACCCCGGGGAUAACAGGCUUAUCUCCCCCAAGAGUUCACAUCGACGGGGAGGUUUGGCACCUCGAUGUCGGCUCAUCGCAUCCUGGGGCUGUAGUCGGUCCCAAGGGUUGGGCUGUUCGCCCAUUAAAGCGGUACGCGAGCUGGGUUCAGAACGUCGUGAGACAGUUCGGUCCCUAUCCGUCGUGGGCGUAGGAAAUUUGAGAGGAGCUGUCCUUAGUACGAGAGGACCGGGAUGGACAUACCUCUGGUGUACCAGUUGUCGUGCCAACGGCAUAGCUGGGUAGCUAUGUAUGGACGGGAUAAGUGCUGAAAGCAUCUAAGCAUGAAGCCCCCCUCAAGAUGAGAUUUCCCAACUUCGGUUAUAAGAUCCCUCAGAGAUGAUGAGGUUAAUAGGUUCGAGGUGGAAGCGUGGUGACACGUGGAGCUGACGAAUACUAAUCGAUCGAAGACUUAAUCAA
rnacentral:rRNA from 1 species